UGGGGAAUAUUGGACAAUGGGCGAAAGCCUGAUCCAGCCAUGCCGCGUGUGUGAAGAAGGUCUUCGGAUUGUAAAGCACUUUAAGUUGGGAGGAAGGGCAGUAAGCGAAUACCUUGCUGUUUUGACGUUACCGACAGAAUAAGCACCGGCUAACUCUGUGCCAGCAGCCGCGGUAAUACAGAGGGUGCAAGCGUUAAUCGGAAUUACUGGGCGUAAAGCGCGCGUAGGUGGUUCGUUAAGUUGAAUGUGAAAGCCCCGGGCUCAACCUGGGAACUGCAUCCAAAACUGGCGAGCUAGAGUAGGGCAGAGGGUGGUGGAAUUUCCUGUGUAGCGGUGAAAUGCGUAGCUAUAGGAAGGAACACCAGUGGCGAAGGCGACCACCUGCGCUCAUACUGACACUGAGGUGCGAAAGCGUGGGGCGCAUACUGG
rnacentral:rRNA from 1 species